UGGCUCAGUUGGUAGAGCAUGGUGUGUGCAACGCCAGGGUUGUGGGUUCGAUUCCCGC
rfam:Salmo salar isolate Sally breed double haploid chromosome ssa24, whole genome shotgun sequence.